AUACGUAUGGUGCGAACGUUGUUCGGAAUCACUGGGCCUAAAGAGCGCGUAGGCGGCUUGGUAAGUUAGUUGUGAAAUCCCCCGGCUCAACCGAGGAACUGCACCUAAAACUGCCUUGCUAGAGUUCAGGAGGGGAGAGUGGAAUUCCUGGUGGAGCGGUGAAAUGCGUAGAUAUCAGGAGGAACGCCGGUGGCGAAAGCGACUCUCUGGCCUGACACUGACGCUGAGGCGCGAAAGCUAGGGGAGCAAACGGGAUUAGAAACCCCAGUAGUCC
rnacentral:rRNA from 1 species